CUGGCCUCUAUCGAUAUCCACUCAGAUAGGACCUAGAACGUCUUCUCCUCACAAAUCGAUGCUCCAAAAAUCAGAUCUCUAUCUGAUUUGGAAGUGCUUCAGAACUCUUUCUGAAGUUGGACCAGCAGCCUGUCGAAGAUGUCCUGCAGCCUUCCUAUUUCAGGCAUCACCACGCCUUGGACCUUUGCCAGAUGGAUGUCUAACUUCUUGGACAUGAAGAGGGGAGAGAGGAGAGUAGGGAGGAUAUGGAGAAGAGGAGAGGAUUCUCAUUUUGGCUGGGUAAUGAGCAGAAACUUACAAACCCUAG
rnacentral:lncRNA from 1 species